AGCGAACGCUGGCGGCAGGCCUAACACAUGCAAGUCGAACGAAGUCUUCGGACUUAGUGGCGGACGGGUGAGUAACACGUGGGAACGUGCCUUUAGGUUCGGAAUAACUCAGGGAAACUUGUGCUAAUACCGAAUGUGCCCUUCGGGGGAAAGAUUUAUCGCCUUUAGAGUGGCCCGCGUCUGAUUAGCUAGUUGGUGAGGUAAUGGCUCACCAAGGCUACGAUCAGUAGCUGGUCUGGGAGGAUGACCAGCCACAUUGGGACUGAGACACGGCCCAAACUCCUACGGGAGGCAGCAGUGGGGAAUCUUGCGCAAUGGGCGAAAGCCUGACGCAGCCAUGCCGCGUGGAUGAUGAAGGUCUUAGGAUUGUAAAAUCCUUUCACCGGUGAAGAUAAUGACUGUAGCCGGAGAAGAAGCCCCGGCUAACUUCGUGCCAGCCGCCGCGGUAACAC
rnacentral:rRNA from 1 species